GGGUGGUAUUCAACAAAUUUUUACUUAAGAGUAGACCAAAUGAUAUUAAUGAAAAUGACUAAGUGAGGUCUAGUAAUUUCAUUUGGUUUAUUCUGAGUAAAAGUUGAAUACCACCC